rnacentral:rRNA from 1 species
GGGACACGUGGUAUCCUGUCUGAAUAUGGGGGGACCAUCCUCCAAGGCUAAAUACUCCUGACUGACCGAUAGUGAACCAGUACCGUGAGGGAAAGGCGAAAAGAACCCCGGCGAGGGGAGUGAAAAAGAACCUGAAACCGUGUACGUACAAGCAGUGGGAGCCUCUUAAUGGGGUGACUGCGUACCUUUUGUAUAAUGGGUCAGCGACUUAUAUUCUGUAGCAAGGUUAACCGAAUAGGGGAGCCGAAGGGAAACCGAGUCUUAACUGGGCGUUAAGUUGCAGGGUAUAGACCCGAAACCCGGUGAUCUAGCCAUGGGCAGGUUGAAGGUUGGGUAACACUAACUGGAGGACCGAACCGACUAAUGUUGAAAAAUUAGCGGAUGACUUGUGGCUGGGGGUGAAAGGCCAAUCAAACCGGGAGAUAGCUGGUUCUCCCCGAAAGCUAUUUAGGUAGCGCCUCGUGAAUUCAUCUCCGGGGGUAGAGCACUGUUUCGGCAAGGGGGUCAUCCCGACUUACCAACCCGAUGCAAACUGCGAAUACCGGAGAAUGUUAUCACGGGAGACACACGGCGGGUGCUAACGUCCGUCGUGAAGAGGGAAACAACCCAGACCGCCAGCUAAGGUCCCAAAGUCAUGGUUAAGUGGGAAACGAUGUGGGAAGGCCCAGACAGCCAGGAUGUUGGCUUAGAAGCAGCCAUCAUUUAAAGAAAGCGUAAUAGCUCACUGGUCGAGUCGGCCUGCGCGGAAGAUGUAACGGGGCUAAACCAUGCACCGAAGCUGCGGCAGCGACACUAUGUGUUGUUGGGUAGGGGAGCGUUCUGUAAGCCUGUGAAGGUGGCCUGUGAGGGUUGCUGGAGGUAUCAGAAGUGCGAAUGCUGACAUAAGUAACGAUAAAGCGGGUGAAAAGCCCGCUCGCCGGAAGACCAAGGGUUCCUGUCCAACGUUAAUCGGGGCAGGGUGAGUCGACCCCUAAGGCGAGGCCGAAAGGCGUAGUCGAUGGGAAACAGGUUAAUAUUCCUGUACUUGGUGUUACUGCGAAGGGGGGACGGAGAAGGCUAUGUUGGCCGGGCGACGGUUGUCCCGGUUUAAGCGUGUAGGCUGGUUUUCCAGGCAAAUCCGGAAAACCAAGGCUGAGGCGUGAUGACGAGGCACUACGGUGCUGAAGCGACAAAUGCCCUGCUUCCAGGAAAAGCCUCUAAGCAUCAGGUAACAUCAAAUCGUACCCCAAACCGACACAGGUGGUCAGGUAGAGAAUACCAAGGCGCUUGAGAGAACUCGGGUGAAGGAACUAGGCAAAAUGGUGCCGUAACUUCGGGAGAAGGCACGCUGAUAUGUAGGUGAAGCGACUUGCUCGUGGAGCUGAAAUCAGUCGAAGAUACCAGCUGGCUGCAACUGUUUAUUAAAAACACAGCACUGUGCAAACACGAAAGUGGACGUAUACGGUGUGACGCCUGCCCGGUGCCGGAAGGUUAAUUGAUGGGGUUAGCGGUAACGCGAAGCUCUUGAUCGAAGCCCCGGUAAACGGCGGCCGUAACUAUAACGGUCCUAAGGUAGCGAAAUUCCUUGUCGGGUAAGUUCCGACCUGCACGAAUGGCGUAAUGAUGGCCAGGCUGUCUCCACCCGAGACUCAGUGAAAUUGAACUCGCUGUGAAGAUGCAGUGUACCCGCGGCAAGACGGAAAGACCCCGUGAACCUUUACUAUAGCUUGACACUGAACAUUGAGCCUUGAUGUGUAGGAUAGGUGGGAGGCUUUGAAGUGUGGACGCCAGUCUGCAUGGAGCCGACCUUGAAAUACCACCCUUUAAUGUUUGAUGUUCUAACGUGGGCCCCUAAUCGGGGUUGCGGACAGUGUCUGGUGGGUAGUUUGACUGGGGCGGUCUCCUCCUAAAGAGUAACGGAGGAGCACGAAGGUUGGCUAAUCCUGGUCGGACAUCAGGAGGUUAGUGCAAUGGCAUAAGCCAGCUUGACUGCGAGCGUGACGGCGCGAGCAGGUGCGAAAGCAGGUCAUAGUGAUCCGGUGGUUCUGAAUGGAAGGGCCAUCGCUCAACGGAUAAAAGGUACUCCGGGGAUAACAGGCUGAUACCGCCCAAGAGUUCAUAUCGACGGCGGUGUUUGGCACCUCGAUGUCGGCUCAUCACAUCCUGGGGCUGAAGUAGGUCCCAAGGGUAUGGCUGUUCGCCAUUUAAAGUGGUACGCGAGCUGGGUUUAGAACGUCGUGAGACAGUUCGGUCCCUAUCUGCCGUGGGCGCUGGAGAACUGAGGGGGGCUGCUCCUAGUACGAGAGGACCGGAGUGGACGCAUCACUGGUGUUCGGGUUGUCAUGCCAAUGGCACUGCCCGGUAGCUAAAUGCGGAAGAGAUAAGUGCUGAAAGCAUCUAAGCACGAAACUUGCCCCGAGAUGAGUUCUCCCUGAGACUUAGAGUCUCCUGAAGGAACGUUGAAGACGACGACGUUGAUAGGCCGGGUGUGUAAGCGCAGCGAUGCGUUGAGCUAACCGGUACUAAUGAACCGUGAGGCUUAACCUUACAACGCCGAAG